UACGUAGGGUGCAAGCGUUGUCCGGAAUUAUUGGGCGUAAAGAGCUGUAGGCGGUUUGUCGCGUCUGCUGUGAAAUUUCGGGGCUCAACCCCGAACUUGCAGUGGGUACGGGCAGACUAGAGUGUGGUAGGGGAGACUGGAAUUCCUGGUGUAGCGGUGAAAUGCGCAGAUAUCAGGAGGAACACCGAUGGCGAAGGCAGGUCUCUGGGCCAUAACUGACGCUGAGAAGCGAAAGCAUGGGGAGCGAACAGG
rnacentral:rRNA from 1 species